rnacentral:rRNA from 1 species
CGUAACAAGGUCUCCGUAGGUGUACCUGCGGAGGGAUCAUUACACAAAUAUGAAGGCGGGCUGGAACCUCUCGGGGUUACAGCCUUGCUGAAUUAUUCACCCUUGUCUUUUGCGUACUUCUUGUUUCCUUGGUGGGUUCGCCCACCACUAGGACAAACAUAAACCUUUUGUAAUUGCAAUCAGCGUCAGUAACAAAUUAAUAAUUACAACUUUCAACAACGGAUCUCUUGGUUCUGGCAUCGAUGAAGAACGCAGCGAAAUGCGAUAAGUAGUGUGAAUUGCAGAAUUCAGUGAAUCAUCGAAUCUUUGAACGCACAUUGCGCCCUUUGGUAUUCCAAAGGGCAUGCCUGUUCGAGCGUCAUUUGUACCCUCAAGCUUUGCUUGGUGUUGGGCGUCUUGUCUCUAGCUUUGCUGGGGACUCGCCUUAAAGUAAUUGGCAGCCGGCCUACUGGUUUCGGAGCGCAGCACAAGUCGCACUCUCUAUCAGCAAAGGUCUAGCAUCCAUUAAGCCUUUUUUUCAACUUUUGACCUCGGAUCAGGUAGGGAUACCCGCUGAACUUAAGCAUAUCA